rnacentral:rRNA from 1 species
UCUGCCCGCUGGCGGCGUGCCUAAUACAUGCAAGUCGAGCGAACAGACGAGGAGCUUGCUCCUCUGACGUUAGCGGCGGACGGGUGAGUAACACGUGGAUAACCUACCUAUAAGACUGGGAUAACUUCGGGAAACCGGAGCUAAUACCGGAUAAUAUAUUGAACCGCAUGGUUCAAUAGUGAAAGACGGUUUUGCUGUCACUUAUAGAUGGAUCCGCGCCGCAUUAGCUAGUUGGUAAGGUAACGGCUUACCAAGGCAACGAUGCGUAGCCGACCUGAGAGGGUGAUCGGCCACACUGGAACUGAGACACGGUCCAGACUCCUACGGGAGGCAGCAGUAGGGAAUCUUCCGCAAUGGGCGAAAGCUUGACGGAGCAACGCCGCGUGAGUGAUGAAGGUCUUCGGAUCGUAAAACUCUGUUAUUAGGGAAGAACAAAUGUGUAAGUAACUAUGCACGUCUUGACGGUACCUAAUCAGAAAGCCACGGCUAACUACGUG